UACGUAGGGUGCGAGCGUUAAUCGGAAUUACUGGGCGUAAAGCGUGCGCAGGCGGUUAUAUAAGACAGAUGUGGAAUCCCCCGGCUCAACCUGGGACCUGCAUUUGUGACUGUAUAGCUAGAGUACGGUAGAGGGGGAUGGAAUUCCGCGUGUAGCAGUGAAAUGCGUAGAUAAGCGGAGGAACACCGAUGGCGAAGGCAAUCCCCUGGACCUGUACUGACGCUCAGGCACGAAAGCGUGGGGAGCAAACAGG
rnacentral:rRNA from 1 species